rnacentral:rRNA from 1 species
GAGUUUGAUUCUGGCUCAGAUUGAACGCUGGCGGCAUGCUUUACACAUGCAAGUCGGACGGCAGCACAGAGAAGCUUGCUUCUUGGGUGGCGAGUGGCGAACGGGUGAGUAACGCAUCGGAACGUACCGAGUAGUGGGGGAUAACUGUCCGAAAGGAUGGCUAAUACCGCAUACGCUUUGAGAAGGAAAGCGGGGGAUCUUCGGACCUCGCGCUAUUCGAGCGGCCGAUGUCUGAUUAGCUAGUUGGUAGGGUAAAGGCCUACCAAGGCGACGAUCAGUAGCGGGUCUGAGAGGAUGAUCCGCCACACUGGGACUGAGACGCGGCCCAGACUCCUACGGGAGGCAGCAGUGGGGAAUUUUGGACAAUGGGCGCAAGCCUGAUCCAGCCAUGCCGCGUGUCUGAAGAAGGCCUUCGGGUUGUAAAGGACUUUUGUCAGGGAAGAAAAGCUUUGGGUUAAUACCCUGGAGUGAUGACG